rnacentral:tRNA from 1 species
CCUGGUGGCUCAGAUGGUAAAGCAUCUGCCUGCAAUGCGGGAGACCCGGGUUCGAUUCCUGGGUCAGGA